rnacentral:SRP_RNA from 1 species
UCGUGCUAGACGGGGAGUUAGCGGUGCCCUGUAACCCGAGAUCCGCUUAUGCGGGGUUGAAAAUCCUUCAUUAGAACCGUGAUUUCGGAGUGCCCUCUGGUCACCUCAGGGAUGAGGUGGACCACACGUGACAGAUGCUUAUAAACCCCGUCAGGUCCGGAAGGAAGCAGCGGUAAGUAAGAUGAUUUGUGUCGUGCAGGUAUCUACUUUUUACUCGGGGUGAUAAUGUCAUUUCUUUCAUGUUUCAGGGGAGGAUGCGCGA